rnacentral:rRNA from 1 species
CCUACGGGAGGCAGCAGUGGGGAAUAUUGGGCAAUGGGCGCAAGCCUGACCCAGCAACGCCGCGUGAAGGAAGAAGGCUUUCGGGUUGUAAACUUCUUUUGUCAGGGAAGAGGAGAAGACGGUACAUGACGAAUAAGCCACGGCUAACUAGGUGCCAGCAGACGCAGUAAUACGUAGGUGGCAGGCGUUGUCCGGAUUUACUGGGUGUAAUGGGCGUGAAGCCGGGUUGACAAGUCAGAUGUGAAAUCCUGCGGCUUAACCGGAGAACUGCAUUCGAAACUGGUGAUCUUGAGUACUGGAGAGGCAGACGGAAUUCCUGGUGUAGCGGUGAAAUGCGUAGAUAUUAGGAGGAACACCAGUGGCGAAGGCGGUCUGCUGGACAGCAACUGACGGUGAGGCGCGAAAGCGUGGGGAGCAAACAGGAUUAGAUACCCUAGUAGUC